rnacentral:rRNA from 1 species
AACGAACGCUGGCGGCGCGCCUAAUACAUGCAAGUCGAGCGAGAAGACGUAGCAAUACGUUUGUAAAGCGGCGAACGGGUGAGGAAUACAUGGGUAACCUACCCUCGAGUGGGGAAUAACUAGCCGAAAGGUUAGCUAAUACCGCGUACGCUCCUUGGACUUCGGUUCAGGGAGGAAAGCGAUACCGUGGGUAUCGCGCUCUUGGAUGGGCUCAUGUCCUAUCAGCUUGUUGGNGAGGUAACGGCUCACCAAGGCUUCGACGGGUAGCUGGUCUGAGAGGACGAUCAGCCACACUGGCACUGCGACACGGGCCAGACUCCUACGGGAGGCAGCAGUAAGGAAUAUUGCGCAAUGGGCGAAAGCCUGACGCAGCGACGCCGCGUGGGGGAUGAAGGUCUUCGGAUUGUAAACCCC